rnacentral:rRNA from 1 species
UACAGAGGUCUCAAGCGUUGUUCGGAUUCAUUGGGCGUAAAGGGUGCGUAGGCGGCGCGGUAAGUCGGGUGUGAAAUCUCGGGGCUUAACUCCGAAACUGCAUUCGAUACUGCCGUGCUUGAGGACUGGAGAGGAGACUGGAAUUUACGGUGUAGUGGUGAAAUGCGUAGAUAUCGUAAGGAAGACCAGUGGCGAAGGCGGGUCUCUGGACAGUUCCUGACGCUGAGGCACGAAGGCCAGGGGAGCAAACAGG